rnacentral:rRNA from 1 species
AAGUCUUGACAUCCUCCUGAAUAUAGAGGUAAUGCUUUAUAGUCCUUCGGGACGGGAGAGACAGGUGGUGCAUGGUUGUCGUCAGCUCGUGUCGUGAGAUGUUGGGUUAAGUCCCGCAACGAGCGCAACCCUUAUCCUUAGUAGCCAGCAGUGAGAUGGGCACUCUAGGGAGACUGCCAGGGACAACCUGGAGGAAGGCGGGGAUGACGUCAAAUCAUCAUGCCCCUUAUGACUUGGGCUACACACGUGCUACAAUGGCGUAAACAAAGGGAAGCGGCCCUGUGAAGGUGAGCAAAUCCCAAAAAUAACGUCUCAGUUCGGAUUGUAGUCUGCAACUCGACUACAUGAAGCUGGAAUCGCUAGUAAUCGCGAAUCAGAAUGUCGCGGUGAAUACGUUCCCGGGUC